AGCAGAGUAAAUGGCCCAAAGAUGGCGGCCAUCAGGUUUCCCACCAUUGGAAUGACAGGCAACAGUACCAUGCAUCUGACGAGUGGUUAUUCCUCUCUCCUCUGCUACCAAAUUGAUCGCAUUAUUCAGAUGAUCUUUACCAGCUGGAAGUUAUCGCUUGGACACAAAAUGGAGCUCUGUUGGUUCUUAUCGAGGUGUAGUGGAGAAUCAGCUGGCUUCAGUGCAGACACAGGUGCAAAGGCAAAUGCUAGAUUCAUGUCCCAGCAAUAAGAGGUGGAUCAGUCUUCAAAAUGGGUGUUGAACGCCGGAGAGAAAAGAGUCCAAGUGACGUUAGCUUCUCAUUUGCUGGUUACACAGAAGGCGGCAAUGCUGAAUGAAUUCGUAUCUAAGCUGCCUUGUGGUCCGGUGCAAUUCUUGGAAGUGUCAUGUUGGAUUGUUUGCUUAAUAAUACUGAUUUGUAAGAAAUCAUGAAAGUAUCCACUUGAUAACUUCAGCAGUGGGAAAACAUUACGUUCCAUCGGCUGUGCCUUGAAAUAAAGCAAGUACUUAUGGCAAUA